CAAAGUCGCAAAAACAUGGCUCGC
rnacentral:piRNA from 1 species